rnacentral:rRNA from 1 species
UACGGGGGGUGCGAGCGUUGUCCGGAAUCACGGGGCGUAAAGGGCGCGUAGGGGGCGUGAUAAGGGUGUGGUGAAAGCCCGGGGCUCAACCCCGGGUCUGCCAUGCCGACUGUCAGGCUGGAGUACUGUAGGGGCAGGCGGAAUUCCGGGUGUAGCGGUGGAAUGCGUAGAGAUCCGGAGGAAGACCGGUGGCGAAGGCGGCCUGCUGGACAGUUACUGACACUGAUGCGCGACAGCGUGGGGAGCAAACAGG